GAAAUGCGAUAAGUAAUGUGAAUUGCAGAAUUCAGUGAAUCAUCGAAUCUUUGAACGCACCUUGCGCUCCUUGGUAUUCCGAGGAGCAUGCCUGUUUGAGUGUCAUGGAAUUCUCAACUCUAUUUGCUUUUGUGAAUAGAGCUUGGAUUUGGAGGUUUAUUGCUGGUACUUGUGAUCGGCUCCUCUUGAAUGCAUUAGCUCGAACCUUUGCGGAUCAGCUAUCGGUGUGAUAAUUGUCUACGCCGUUGCAGUGAAGCAUAUCAAUGGGCUCGGCUUCCAAUCGUCCUUUACUGGACAAUGACUUUGACCUUUGACCUCAAAUCAGGUAGGAUUACCCGCUGAACUUAAGU
rnacentral:misc_RNA from 1 species